GACGAACGCUGGCGGCGUGCUUAACACAUGCAAGUCGAACGGAAAGACCCUGCUUUUGUGGUGUGCUCGAGUGGCGAACGGGUGAGUAACACGUGAGUAACCUGCCCUUGACUUUGGGAUAACUUCAGGAAACUGGGGCUAAUACCGGAUAGGAGCUCCUGCUGCAUGGUGUGGGUUGGAAAGUUUCGGCGGUUGGGGAUGGACUCGCGGCCUAUCAGCUUGUUGGUGGGGUAGUGGCUUACCAAGGCUUUGACGGGUAGCCGGCCUGGGAGGGUGACCGGCCACAUUGGGACUGAGAUACGGCCCAGACUCCUACGGGGGGCAUCAGUGGGGAAUAUUGCACAAUGGGCGGAAGCCUGAUGCAGCAACGCCGCGUGCUGGAUGACGGCCUUCGGGUUGUAAACCGCUUUCGCCUGUGACGAAGCGUGAGUGACGGUAAUGGGUAAAGAAGCACCGGCUAACUACGUG
rnacentral:rRNA from 1 species